AUAAAUAUAAAUGAUUGGAAUUGUUUAAUGUUAUUUGACAAACCUGUUCGAUCGAAAUUAAGGAUGAUGGAUCAACGUAUGCAUCAGAGUCUUCUUGAACGAUUUCAUCAGCAAUGUUACCGGUGUAGACUCGGACAACAGUGAAUGAAUCAUAUCCACCAAAUAUGUUUUUCCUUUGAAUGCACAAUAGAAACUGAAAAGUCUUCCCUUUCAAACCAUUAAUCACAUCAGGCAAAACAGUUGGGUCUUCGAUCUACAAAAAAAUAUAGAUUAUCAUAACAUGAACAUAGUCAUUUUAAUGAAAGAGUUUAUUUUU
rnacentral:sRNA from 1 species